UGUAUGAGAACACUGUUGCCACUAGGACGAGUUAAGAUUUUGUUCAUUUUUUCCACAGUUGUUCUUAACAUUAUUGUAAGUAUUUUAAGAGGCAACAUUUACUAGAACCUGACCUAACCAACCAAAUAAACCUACCUAUCUUACCUAACUUCCUAGCCAGAGGGCAGACCCCCUGCCAUAUUAAACAGAAAGUACUUAUUUUAAUAUCUGGUACCAAUUAAAGCUACUUUGUUGAAGCGUUAUGGAGUACAGGUAAUUUACAUUUUUUUGUGGACAUUAGAGUACGCUCGGACCGAGUGGGUCGGUCGUAGACAGUCGACAGGCGGUGGCUCGGACAUCAUUUUAGUCAUAUGAUCAGUUUUUCACUCUUGCCCCACAAUUUCUCUCACCCUUCAUGCCCUGUCCACUACAGGUGACUUAUGUUCGUAGAGAAAACUAAAAAUAAUUAAAAUAAAAAGCGGUCUACUUAUAAUUAAAGUAAAAAGUUGUACUGUACUUACUAUGUGUGUAAUAAACCAGACCUAACUCCUGGUGGCAGUUUCCUCAGAUUACCAACAUGAACCAUAAUGUUGACUUAACUCCUGAUUUCAUUAUAGGUUUAAUGUUGUUGUUUCCUUUUGGGUUUUUCUUUCUCGUUUUGUUUUACCGUAGUUGUCAUUUUAAUUGUUUUCAACUUUUUACCAUUAAUUAUCUCUGGUGCCAUGUUACAGGUCUUACUCAUUGUUUUCAGGUUUGUUACGGUCUUUAUUAAUGUUUUUUAGGGUUAUGUUACAGGUCUUAAUUAUGUUGUCAAGUAAUCUUAUUUUUGUAUUUACUUUCUUACAGGUUUUUUUCAUAUUGCAAUAUUAUUCUUUCCAAUCUUUCAACAGCUUAGUCACUCCACCAUUGAACUGUUGUAUUCAGUUCACACCAUUUUGACUCGUACAGGCCUACCAAACCGUGCAAAAUUACGAGAUGAAUUAUAUGAAACUAUGCGACCGGUGCGAUCCAUCUACUAAAUGUAUGAGCGGACUCUGACAAUACGUAUUGCAUCGACUCGUCUUAAACCGUGCGAAAGAUCCGUGUGGAUGUAAUAUGAUCCGCUUGCCCUCCGCUACAUAACUAAUUAUGCAGUUGUUUGUUGGCUUCUUACCAGGUCAAGUGGUGCACUGUGCUGCUGUAGUUUCAGGAAUGUUUAACAGGCACCCUGCUACUGUGCAUUACCAGCAUGAUUACAGUACUGUAGUAGUUUAAUUCAUUGUUAUAUUUUGUUAUAUUUUGUAUGAGUAAACUGCUGUAUUUAGUAUGUAUACAGGCUGCAUUGUACAUUAUUGUAUUAAAUGUAUUUACCACAAUGUAUAGUGUAUUGUAGGACCAUCUUAGCAUGUGUAAGUUGACCUUACUUAAUACAGUAUUGUAGUUUUAUUAUUUGUAGUGUUGACAAUUUGUACCAUUUAAUAAUGUAGCAGUAGUUGUGUCGGUGCUUGUCAGUACUUCUCAACAGUAACAGCCGUGACCGACCGCCCAAGCAGCUAACGAGCCGAUCAAUGGUGAAGAGGAUAAAGGUAAACCAGGUGCUGUAUGUCUGGAGCUUGUCUGUGUGGUAAAUGUUAUGUUUGGGUUGGUGUACAGUACAGGCUAUGUUGUGUGACCAAGAGAUUAAGGUCUACAAAUGAAUGGCUGUUGUCUCUUAUGUGGUCUUUAUAUUUUAAAGUUAAAGUUAUCUAUAAAUAUCUAACAUAAGACCUACAGUACAGGUAUUAAGUUAAUAUUCCAUUACAGAAGAUGACCCCCUGGAUGACUGUGCCCUGCAAGAAACACAGGCAGCCAGGGCUCCCACUACAUCAAUACCUGGAUUAAUCACAAAAUGGUGAUAAGUAAAUGUUUCUUUUUAUAUUAAAAUCUAAAAUCUUGAGAACCCAAAAAAAUGAAAUAAAACAAAUAAUUCACAUUACAACAGCUGUGUACAUAAGGGUCCAGUCAGAAUUUUUUUUGGGGGGGGGGACAUUUUAUUGUUUUAAAUUUAUUAUUGACUCAUUUUUGAUGGAUUUUAGCUCGAGUGUGUCUACUAAUCCUAUAGUUUGGCCGCCAUCUUGGAAAAUGAAGGUGAAUAUAUACAUGUACUGCCUGAGGUCCUCUAGACUCAUGGUGACUGUUUCAUCACUGGUUAAGACUGUUUCAUAGCUGAAUGAUUCGUGUCUACGGUCCUUCUUGCUUGGAGUGUGUUUGAACAGAGGGUUCCAAAUCUGAUGCUGGUGUUGGGUUUGGAGCAAUCUUCUAAUAAGGCUGGGAGUUUUACUAUCUUUUAUUCCAAAGCAGCACUGUCAGGUCAGCCAUCCUUGCCUCUGGCAGCUACAAUGGAACAAUUUAUCUGUUCCCAAGCUAUUGCCAGAUUACAAAAAAGAUUAUCUGUGUAAACCUCCUUGGAUGCCCUGCCACUGAGGCUGCUGUUACCCAUCUGUUGUGUACACUCACCCCACCCACAGUUUCCUUAUGGCCAGAGGACCACAGCCCUAUUGUGAUGACUGCCUGAUAGUGUCCGUCAUGGGGACUUGAGACAUUUUCUGACCAAGUGCUGACAGGAGGAUGGUUCCUUCUCCAUCUCAAAGGUUCUCAGUGAUGCUGUAUCCUGAGAUGCUGAACCAUAGACUCAACCUUACCAGAAGCAGUGGUGCGGCAGCGCCAUCUAUUGAGGAAUUGCUAAAGGCUGUCUGCUGGUCUCAAAGUGCAGGAAUGUUUAUUUCUUCAUACGUAGGCUCUCGUACUUGGACACCUAUUUACAGUAGGCUCUCAUAUUUGGACAC